UUUUUUUUUUUUUUUUUAAACUCUGAGAAAGUAAGAGAGCAUUUGUGUCUUAAAUCCCAACAAAGGACUGGCUUGUCGUUGUUUCUUUUUAGCUUUUUGCAUUGACGCUGACUUCCUUGACAUCUCUGGAAAUAGGGACAGUUGAAUGGAACUGAAUGAAUGAGAACAACAUGGUAGAUUUGUUCCACCACUGUAUGGGAGAUGAGAGUCGAAACACUGGGCUGCAAAGGGCAGUUAAACUGGUCUGGUUUGUUUUGCUUUUCUUCCAGAAAGCCAAAAAAAAAAAAAAAAGCACUAUUUCCCUAUUUCCGUUCUCCAAUCAAAUUGAUUUUAUUGAUCUGGACUCACAAAGUAAUGCAAUUAAGUCUCUGGAAUUAAAUUUUCAGGCCAUUGACCGUACAAGUGUAAAGUUUUAUUGAGUCAAAUUGCUAAAUUAAAUCUCAUCUUCUAAAGCACAUUAAAGUGAAUUAAGAAGGAUAGAGUGUGCAACUCAUUUAUUUCUCAACAAUCUGAGGAGCCCAUGCAGCUGUCAGUGCCCAGUGGUCACGGGGCAGGUCAGCGAGCACGGGGUCUGUUCUAGAAAAGGCACAGCACAGAGCAACUGUCUGAGACCUGGAGAGCAUGUUUGUCUAAUCCAUGAGAAUGACAAAUCCUUGCAAGGGUCUCAAUUACCUAAAUGGCGCUGGGUUUGCUUCUUAAAGCUUGGUUACAGUACAACUCCCUGCCCUUUGAGAGACAAGUUCUUGAGAGUGGUGGAUAGCUGUUUGUUUAUCUAAAUAAUUCAAAAGUUAUUUCAAAGUUAACUCUAUCCUGCAUGAACGAGGAUAUCUUUCAUCUUUAAUAAAACUGCUCUCAUCUCUUGACACUAGCGGACUGUCUAGACCCUGGAUGUUCUAAUCACGGGGUGUGUAUCCAUGGGGAAUGUCACUGCAAUCCAGGCUGGGGUGGCAGCAACUGUGAAAUACUGAAGACUAUGUGUGCAGACCAGUGCUCAGGCCACGGGACUUACCUUCAAGAAAGCGGCUCCUGCACUUGCGACCCAAAUUGGACUGGCCCCGACUGCUCAAAUGGUGAGGUCAACCAAUACCAUCUGAUCAAGUAUUUACCGUAAUUUCCUUAAGAUUUGGGAUAUAUGACUUCUUUGCGUGCACAUCUUUAACUUAAUACAUUACCAAAUGAGUACUUAAAGACAUAAAUGUUUAAAGGAAUGAAGUAGUUACUGCUUAUAAAAAGGAAAUAAGCUUAGGUCAUUUAUUAUUAAAAAUUCACUCUUCUCUAUUAUUGGCAAGGAUUAUCUUUUAUGUGCACAAGACAGCCCUAUCUCCCUCAGUCUCACUGUGUGGAAAUACUGAUUUACAUGAGCAUCUAUGUAGGUCUAUCUGUUGUUUAGGGUGGGUCAUGGCAUUGUUGAGACAGGCCCUCAUGUAGCCUGGGCUGGCCUCAGACUUACUACAGAAAAGAGACUUGCCCUUGUGUGCACAGACAUACUCCACCAUGCCCAGAAAUUCAGGCACUUUAGGGCAUGAGCAAAUAAUCGGCAAGCUGACCUGACAACGGUAGGCUGUACAUGAUCCCACUAAAGAGUGAGUACAAUGUUCUCAUUCUAUUACGCUUACAUGAUGAUGAAGUGGGCGAUGUCAGUAAUCUUAUUCACUAAUACAUGGACACGUGCACAUACCCUGCUAUUACAGAAAUGGGCAGUGUACAAAAUGGUGUGUAUGGUACUUGCUGAUUUUUCAAAAUCAUUUGUUUGUUUGUUUGUUUUUUUAAUGCUGGCUGCAACUCAGGAACUAAUCUCACAAUAUUCCCAGUCAUUAGUCACACUGUAUGAGAGGAUGCCACUCACCCUAGAAGAUGACACUUUUAAUUGGGAGCUAAGAUGAGCACACAUGAAAUAAUUAGACGCCAAUCUAACAUCAUACCAAGUGUUACGUGGAAUAAUUUGCUAAACUCGGAGGAGCGAUCCCAUCUUGACAAAUACUGCAGAAUUUCACAGGGACUUCUAUGAAGACUUCUGCCUCCAUUUAAACUGGGCAGUCUUUCAGAGGGGCAAGUAAAGGGACCAUUUGUGACUGAGGAAGCUGUUAGAGUCUGUCUAAGGACUCGGGCUAUGAAGUCAGAUGCAUGUGGUCAUGGUCAAGUGUAUUGUGAAGGUCUUUAGUCCUUAGAAAAUGACUGGUGUGUCUCAGCUCAGGAGAGGACUUUGCAGAAGUGUGGACCCGAACAGAGGGCAAGCAGUUUAGAAUCAACAGAAAUGAAAAGGAUAUAUAUGAGCAACGUUUUAAAUAGACAAUAGGCAAGACUC
rnacentral:lncRNA from 1 species